GACGAACGCUGGCGGCGUGCUUAACACAUGCAAGUCGAACGGAAAGGCCCUGCUUGCAGGGUACUCGAGUGGCGAACGGGUGAGUAACACGUGGGUGAUCUGCCCUGCACUUCGGGAUAAGCCUGGGAAACUGGGUCUAAUACCGGAUAGGAGCCAUUUUUAGUGUGAUGGUUGGAAAGUUUUUUCGGUGUAGGAUGAGCUCGCGGCCUAUCAGCUUGUUGGUGGGGUAAUGGCCUACCAAGGCGGCGACGGGUAGCCGGCCUGAGAGGGUGGACGGCCACAUUGGGACUGAGAUACGGCCCAGACUCCUACGGGAGGCAGCAGUGGGGAAUAUUGAACAAUGGGCGCAAGCCUGAUGCAGAGACGCCGCGUGGGGGAUGACGGCCUUCGGGUUGUAAACUCCUUUCGCUAGGGACGAAGCUUUUUGUGACGGUACCUAGAUAAGAAGCACCGGCUAACUACGUG
rnacentral:rRNA from 1 species